GCAUAACGCGAAGAACCUUACCGGGGCUUGACAUCUUUCUGACCGCCUGGGAAACCAGGUCUUCUUCCUUCGGGAAGACGGAAAGACAGGUGGUGCAUGGUUGUCGUCAGCUCGUGUCGUGAGAUGUUGGGUUAAGUCCCGCAACGAGCGCAACCCCUGUGUUUAGUUGCCAGCGAGUCAUGUCGGGCACUCUAAGCAGACUGCCUCGGAUAACGGGGAGGAAGGUGGGGAUGACGUCAAGUCAGCAUGGCCUUUAUGUCCAGGGCCACACACGUGCUACAAUGGGCGGUACAGAGGGAUGCAAAUCCGCAAGGUAGAGCUAAUCCCUAAAACCGUUCUCAGUUCAGAUUGGAGGCUGCAACUCGCCUCCAUGAAGGCGGAAUCGCUAGUAAUCGCGGAUCAGCUACGCCGCGGUGAAUACGUUCUCGGGUCUUGUACACACCG
rnacentral:rRNA from 1 species